rnacentral:rRNA from 1 species
UACGGAGGGUGCAAGCGUUAUCCGGAUUCACUGGGUUUAAAGGGUGCGUAGGUGGGAUGGUAAGUUACUGGUGGGAAAUCGAGGCUCAACCUCGUGGAAGUCAGUAAUACUAUCGAGCUUGAGUGCAGGAGAGGUUAAUGGAAUUUUAUGUGGAGCGGUAAAAUGCGUAGAUAUAUAAAAGAACAUCAAUUGGCGAAGGCAGUUAACUAUUCUGCUACUGACAUUGAGGCAUGAAAGCGUGGGGAGCAAAACGG